CGCCCUUAGAGUUUGAUCAUGGCUCAGGACGAACGCUGGCGGCGUGCCUAACACAUGCAAGUCGAGCGGAGGCUGAGGGAAGCCCAGCGAUGGGAAGGAAUCGGCUUUAGCGGCGAACGGGUGAGUAACACGUGGGCAAUCUGCCCUCUGGAGCGGGAUAACAGACCGAAAGGCUUGCUAAUACCGCAUGAGGCCGUACCCUCGCAUGGGGGAACGGUCAAAGGGGAAACCCGCCGGAGGAGGAGCCCGCGUCCCAUUAGCUAGUUGGCGGUGUAACGGACCACCAAGGCGAUGAUGGGUAGCCGGCCUGAGAGGGUGAACGGCCACAUUGGGACUGAGACACGGCCCAGACUCCUACGGGGGGCAGCAGUGAGGGAUUUUCGGCAAUGGGCGAAAGCCUGACCGAGCGACGCCGCGUGAGCGAAGAAGGCCUUCGGGUCGUAAAGCUCUGUCUAGGGGGAAGAGAACGGACGGUACCCCUGGAGGAAGCCACGGCUAACUACGUGCCAGCAGCCGCGGUAAUACGUAGGUGGCGAGCGUUGUCCGGAAUUACUGGGCGUAAAGGGCGCGCAGGCGGUUCGUUAAGUCUGGGGUGAAAUCCUUCGGCUCAACCGGAGGGGGACCCUGGAUACUGGCGGGCUUGAGUGUGGGAGAGGGAAGCGGAAUUCCACGUGUAACGGUGAAAUGUAUAGAUAUGUGGAGGAACACCGGUGGCGAAGGCGGCUUCCUGGACCAUAACUGACGCUGAGGCGCGAAAGCUGGGGGAGCGAACAGGAUUAGAUACCCUGGUAGUCCCAGCCGUAAACGAUGAACACUAGGUGUGGGGGGUAUCGACCCCUUCCGUGCCGCAGCUAACGCAAUAAGUGUUCCGCCUGGGGAGUACGGGCCGCAAGGGUGAAACUCAAAGGAAUUG
rnacentral:rRNA from 1 species